UCAAAUAUUGCACCUGUCAAUACAGUGAUACACCAUCAAUACGAAAUAUUCUGUAGCCUAUUAUGCUGUCAAUACUGCCGACGUUGUCUUUGCUUAAUCAAAUAUAUGGUUGAAGAACACGCUAUUAUUUCAUUUUAUCAAUGGGAAACAUACAUGUGUACAGACAAGGCCAGCAGCAGCAGCACCGUGUCAGACAUGUUUCUGGUGUGCAAAGACACGCCACGCAACCAACACGCAACAGAAAUGCCACGCUCACGCCACGCAGGCAGUGUGCAGGAGCCCUAACACAUUGGCAUGAUGGUUCAAAUAUGACACCUUGAAAGAUGCAUUAAAGUAAACAGACUGACACAUGAAUAGACAAGGAGAUUGCUUUCUCCUUGGUAAAAGUAUCCCAAGAAAAUUUUGUGGCCAUGAAAUGAGAAA